AGUGAACGCUGGCGGUAGGCCUAACACAUGCAAGUCGAACGGCAGCACAGUAAGAGCUUGCUCUUACGGGUGGCGAGUGGCGGACGGGUGAGGAAUACAUCGGAAUCUACUUUUUCGUGGGGGAUAACGUAGGGAAACUUACGCUAAUACCGCAUACGACCUACGGGUGAAAGCAGGGGAUCUUCGGACCUUGCGCGAUUGAAUGAGCCGAUGUCGGAUUAGCUAGUUGGCGGGGUAAAGGCCCACCAAGGCGACGAUCCGUAGCUGGUCUGAGAGGAUGAUCAGCCACACUGGAACUGAGACACGGUCCAGACCACUACGGGAGGCAGCAGUGGGGAAUAUUGGACAAUGGGCGCAAGCCUGAUCCAGCCAUACCGCGUGGGUGAAGAAGGCCUUCGGGUUGUAAAGCCCUUUUGUUGGGAAAGAAAAGCAGCAGGUUAAUACCCAGCUGUUCUGACGGUACCCAAAGAAUAAGCACCGGCUAACUUCGUG
rnacentral:rRNA from 1 species